rnacentral:lncRNA from 1 species
GCACAGAGCAUGACGGCAGCCGCCUACGGGCCAGAAGGGGCCACAGAAUGAAACCUGCCAUGCUGGAGCCUUCGUCUUGGAUCUCCUAGCUUCCAGAGCCGGAGUAGGCAUCUGAGUGUACACAUGAAAUCCACGAGUCUCCAUCUGCAGUCAUCCAGCUGAGAGCCAUUUGGGGAUAAAACGAGCUAUUUCCUGGAUGAAUUCAUC